rnacentral:rRNA from 1 species
CCUACGGGAGGCUGCAGUGAGGAAUAUUGGUCAAUGGGCGUAAGCCUGAACCAGCCAAGUCGCGUGAGGGAUGAAGGUCCUAUGGGUCGUAAACCUCUUUUAUAAGGGAAUAAAGUGAGGGACGUGUCCCGUUUUGUAUGUACCUUAUGAAUAAGGAUCGGCUAACUCCGUGCCAGCAGCCGCGGUAAUACGGAGGAUCCGAGCGUUAUCCGGAUUUAUUGGGUUUAAAGGGAGCGUAGACGGCUUUUUAAGUCAGCGGUGAAAGUCUGCGGCUCAACCAUAGAAUUGCCGUUGAAACUGGCAGUCUUGAGUAUGGUUGAGGCAGGCGGAAUGCGUGGUGUAGCGGUGAAAUGCUUAGAUAUCACGCAGAACCCCGAUUGCGAAGGCAGCCUGCCAAGC